rnacentral:miRNA from 1 species
UAUUAGUUUGGUGCAAAAGUGACUGCAGUUCUGCCAUUAAAAGUAAUGGCAAAAACUGCAAUCACUUUUGCACCAACCUAA